rnacentral:SRP_RNA from 2 species
GCCGGGCGUGGUGACGCACGCCUGUAAUCCCAGCUACUUGGGAAGCUGAGACAUGAGAAUCACUCGAACCCAGGAGGCACAGGCUACAGUGAGCCUAGAUGGCGCCACUGCACUCCAGCCUGGGUGACAGAGUGAGACCCUGUCUCAA